rnacentral:rRNA from 1 species
AGAGUUUGAUCCUGGCUCAGGAUGAACGCUAGCGGCAGGCCUAACACAUGCAAGUCGAACGGUAACAGGAAAUAGCUUGCUAUUUUGCUGACGAGUGGCGCACGGGUGCGUAACGCGUAUACAAUCUACCUUUUGCUGAGGGAUAGCCCAGAGAAAUUUGGAUUAAUACCUCAUGGUAUUAUUGAUAGGCAUCUAUUAAUAAUUAAAGGUUACGGCAAAAGAUGAGUAUGCGUCCCAUUAGCUAGUUGGUGAAGUAACGGUUCACCAAGGCAACGAUGGGUAGGGGUCCUGAGAGGGAGAUCCCCCACACUGGUACUGAGACACGGACCAGACUCCUACGGGAGGCAGCAGUGAGGAAUAUUGGACAAUGGAGGCAACUCUGAUCCAGCCAUGCCGCGUGCAGGAAGACUGCCCUAUGGGUUGUAAACUGCUUUUAUACAGGAAGAAUAAGCCUUACGUGUAAGGUGAUGACGGUACUGUAAGAAUAAGGACCGGCUAACUCCGUGCCAGCAGCCGCGGUAAUACGGAGGGUCCGAGCGUUAUCCGGAAUUAUUGGGUUUAAAGGGUCCGUAGGCGGAUGAUUAAGUCAGGGGUGAAAGUUUGCAGCUCAACUGUAAAAUUGCCUUUGAUACUGGUCAUCUUGAGUUGUAUUGAAGUAGGCGGAAUAUGUAGUGUAGCGGUGAAAUGCAUAGAUAUUACAUAGAACACCAAUUGCGAAGGCAGCUUACUAAGUACUAACUGACGCUGAUGGACGAAAGCGUGGGUAGCGAACAGGAUUAGAUACCCUGGUAGUCCACGCCGUAAACG